CCAAUUCGAAUUAGUCCAUUAAGCCUAGGGAGUCUUCUAGACUCUUCUUUGAAUAAAAACAAAUAAAAAAGACCCUAAAAACCUUAAGACAAAAACACCAAGGACUAAUUGACAAAAAAUAUACAAAAUAAUAACUUAAACAUAGACUCUACCUAUUAAAAAUACAAAAUAAUGCCUAAAAAAAGGAGGAAGGAGCGCAGCCUUCACAGACCUUUGUCUUCACAAAAUUUGAUCGUCACCCACUUGCAACAAAAAAAAACUUGGUGAAGCAAUAGCCAUAGGAAAACACAGACACAAAAUACAGAGGUCUACAAAUAGAGAGGACCCGUCAUUAUGCUUCUACUUCUCUAAUUGAAAAACCAACAACAUACACAGACCCACCCAUCGGUUUUCUAUUCUCUUGGACAGACUUGAAGAUGUGACUGUCUGAGCUUCAACAACCGUCUGAGCUUCAGCAGCCAUAAACGACCCCUGAACGCUAAAACACACACACACACAAGAACUCAAACCCAGUAGCUAUGAAAUAGCUCAAAACUCAGCAGCAAAAUACCCCAUGAAACCCAGCUCCAAAAACGUAGCGUCUACACAUCUUCAAACCACCACUAGAACUCCAUUUCUAGCCAUGGGAGUAGCCUGAAAACUCCAUGAAAUAAGCCAAAACUUCAGCUCAAAACCAGCUGAAAUAUUGCGUCAAAAAUGCCAUCAAAAUAGCUCCAGCAUCCUCCAUUAAUCUAGUUGAAGUUCUGUGUUCAAGGUCAUCGCCGACAAGGUUUUCGCUCAGCAAUUCGGUUCAAUUCAUGAGAGGGUUUUUCGUACAUCUGAUGCCUACGUUGUUUUAUUAUGAGGUUGUCAUCUACAAAACAAUAAAGGGAUUUCUACUUUAUCUACUACUUUCACGCUUUAAUUAUUCUCUGUUAAUGGUCUGCCUAGUAACUAGUUUGGAUGUGUGGUUCAAAAUGGAAAACAAUGAAAAAAGAAUUGAGGCAGAUGACGGUGAAUUGUAAAUGCUUAAUAGGUAUCAACACUUAGAAAGAGAACAAACUAGCUAGUGUCAUUUGUCUUCCUUCUGCAUACGUUUAUUUAUUUCUUUUCUGAGACGCUGAAUUUUUGUAUAAAAACUGAUUUAGUAGCUUGCCUUCCUAAGAAAGAGGCCCUUGAAUUGAGCAAAACUAGUUUGGGAUUUAUUUACAAAAAUCACAGUUUUCUUUCGGCGCGCUAUAAUUAUAUCGUCAUAGCUAUGGGUACGGUUUGCGUAACGUAGUAUUGAUACUUAAUUUCGAAUCAAUUUAAUAUGAACAUCCAUAGUUAAAUACUUUUCCCUUUAAUAAUUUGAGGUGCGUCAUGUUUAAUAAAACCCCAAAAUCCAUGGCCCUCAUUUAACUAAUUUUAACUUUCUAGAAAUCGAGGUGUACUAUUAGCUGAAUUUCCC
rnacentral:lncRNA from 1 species